rnacentral:rRNA from 1 species
CCCUUAGAUGUUCUGGGCCGCACGCGCGCUACACUGAUGCAUUCAACGAGUCUACAACCUGGUCUGAUAGGGCUGGGUAAUCUUUUGAAUGUGCAUCGUGAUUGGGAUAGAUGAUUGCAAUUCUUCAUCUUCAACGAGGAAUGCCUAGUAAACGCAAGUCAUCAGCUUGCAUUGAUUACGUCCCUGCCCUUUGUACACACCACCCGUCGCUCCUACCGAUUGAAUGCUCAGGUGAGCCAUUCGGACUUUCAUCAUGCUGGUUUCCAGUUUUGAUGAAGGAAAGUCUUGCGAACCUUAUCAUUUAGAGGAAGGAGAAGUCGUAACA